rnacentral:misc_RNA from 1 species
UUUACUGACAUUGGCAUGUUUUCGAAUGUGUAUAUCUAUUAUUGAUUUUGAUUGUAUUGAGUUUUUAGAAAUCUGAUUGCACAUAUCUAUAAAAUAUAAAUUAUUAUAAAUAUACCGAUUUGUAUACGUAUACGUAAUGUCAUCUCCGGUUAAAUGUGUAUAUUCAAGUUCUGCAUGUAACAGGUCUCCAAAUAUUUUAGAUUGGAGUAAAAAUAAUAUUAUAUGUUAUGGCUCUUGUAAUGGAAUUGAGCUGUAUAAAUAUGAGAAGGGUACUGGCGGAUCACAUCUGCAAACUUUAGUUGGCCAUAAGAAGAUCGUAACAUCAGUUCAUUGGAUUAAAAAAUGUGAUGAUUCAUUCGAAAAUGAACUUAUAUCUACUUCUGCUGACAGUUCAGCUGUAAUAUGGACAUCAGAUGGCUUGGAAUUUUCUUUGUCAUCAUCUUUGACUGGACAUAGCAAUGUGGUAAGAAAUGCUACAGGAAUAUAUCUUUCUGAGUGUGCAAAUAGUGAUUUAUUGAUAGCAACAGUUUCGAUGGAUUCAUCUCUUAAAUUAUGGACUCGACAACAUAGUACUGUCACAUGUACGCAGACCAUUUCAUUCAAUAAUGGUUUUGGUCUUGAUGUGAAAUUUGCUGUAUUAAAAAAUGCCAGUGACUUGAUUAUGUUAGUGGGUGCUGAUGAUGCCAAAAUUCACAUCUUUGUCCAGAAUAAUCUUGGGCAGUUCACAGCAGCUGCUAAAUUAGAUGGUCAUGCGGACUGGAUCCAGAGUUUAGAUAUUGCAAAAGACCCUAAUGAUACCAAUGCUGCGAUGCUGACUUCUGCCUCUCAAGAUUACCAUGUGCGUAUCUGGAAAAUUUCUACUAUAUUAUCAGAAAUUCCAGAACAAGAUUUGGAAGCUUCAAGGCUCCUAAAAACUGAUGAAAUUCUAUUUGCUGGUGAUACAGGUCAAACUUAUUGUGUGACUUUAGAAUCCAUUUUGCCACAUGAAAAUUGGGUUUAUUCUGCAAGAUGGGUGUAUAAUAAAAGUGUGUCUGACAUUGGAGAAGAAAAUGUGUCACUUUUGCUUCUCACGGCCUCUAUGGAUAAAACCAUGAUUAUUUGGGAAGCCAAUACUUCUACAUCUCUUUGGAUGGAAAAAGUUUGUGUUGGAGAAGUGGGUGGAAAUACCUUGGGCUUCUAUGGUGGAGUUUUCUCUCCCUGCGGAGAAAUCAUUGUCGGUCAUGGCUUUCAAGGAGCUAUCCAUAUCUGGGAGUUUCAUAAAGAAGAAGGCUCCUGGCAACCAGGUUUACCAUUUGGUGGUCAUUAUUCUUCAGUUCAAGAUAUUGAUUGGGAUCCUGAUGGAGAGUACUUAUUGAGCUGCAGCUAUGAUCAAACCACUCGUUUGCAUGCUCCUUACAUAAAUAAUAAAAAGAUCUACUGGCAUGAAAUUUCACGACCUCAAAUUCAUGGAUAUGAUAUGGUUUGUUUAAGUGUGUUAGAUAGAUUUAAAUUUGUCUCCGGUGGUGAUGAAAAAGUUCUUCGUGUUUUUGAAGCUCCUCGAAAUUUUGCAGAAACAUUAGAAAAGAUAGCAAAAGUAGACACAUCUGUUUACUUGAAAAAUAAGCUGGCAGAGGGAGCCACUGUUCCUUCACUUGGACUGUCAAACAAAGCCGUUUUUCAACAGGAUUUAGAAAAAACCAAUCCAUGUGACCAAGAGGAUUCAAAUCGAAACUUUAAAGAUUUAUAUCCUGAUGUUUAUUACACACCCACCCAUUUAACAGCCCCUCCAACUGAAGAAACACUUUUGCAGAAUACAUUGUGGCCUGAAGUGCAAAAGUUAUAUGGACAUCCAUAUGAAGUAUUUACUGUUACUUCAAAUCAUUCUAAAACAUUGAUUGCUUCAGCUUGUAAGGCCUCAAAAGUUGAACAUGCUGGAAUCAUCUUAUGGAGCACAUCCACUUGGAGACAAGUAGCAACUUUAUUGUUCCAUAAUUUGACUGUCACUCAAAUGGAAUUUUCUCCAGAUGAUGAAUAUCUUUUGUCAGUUUCAAGAGAUAGAAUGUGGGCUGUCUAUCGCCAUUUUCCUCAUGAAUGUUGCAAUAUGGGAGAAAAACAACAGUUCAGACGGAAUAUCUAUCUCUCUAUGUCUACAACCUUUAGAAGUUGAAGAUUCUGCAACUGCUGUAACAUUUGCUCCAUGUUUUACAGUUAACAAUAAGUAUUUAAUAGCUAUAGGACUGGAGAAUGGUUGUAUAGUUUUAACUAGCUGGAAUAGUAUUGAAGGGUGGAGCAUCUUUCGGAGAUUGCAACAAAA